CAGCGAGAGAACGUUGCCGCAGGCAACGGCCCGAAGGGCGAGGCGCUUUAGCGCCGAGUAAUCCUUCCCCCGCUACUG
rnacentral:sRNA from 1 species